rnacentral:rRNA from 1 species
UACAGAGGUGGCAAGCGCUGUUCGGAUUUAUUGGGCGUAAAGGGUCCGUAGGCGGCCGAGAAAGUCGGAUGUGAAAUCCCACAGCUUAACUGUGGAACUGCAUUCGAAACUUCUUGGCUCGAGUGUCAUAGGGGUAAAGGGAAUUCCCGGUGUAAGGGUGAAAUCUGCAGAGAUCGGGAGGAACACCGGUCGCGAAGGCGCUUUACUGGAUCACUACUGACGCUGAGGGACGAAAGCCAGGGGAG